CAUUACGAAGCUUAGAGCGUUAACCUUUUAAGUUAAAGUCAGAGAUGUUAGUCUCCGUAGUGA
rnacentral:tRNA from 1 species